rnacentral:rRNA from 1 species
CGGGUGGCAGCAGUGGGGAAUAUUGGACAAUGGGCGAAAGCCUGAUCCAGCCAUGCCGCGUGUGUGAAGAAGGCCUUUUGGUUGUAAAGCACUUUAAGCGGGGAGGAGGGCACCACGGUUAAUACCCGUGACUGUCGGACGUUACCCGCAGAAUAAGCACCGGCUAACUCUGUGCCAGCAGCCGCGGUAAUACAGAGGGUGCGAGCGUUAAUCGGAAUUACUGGGCGUAAAGCGCGCGUAGGCGGCUUGUUAAGUCGGAUGUGAAAUCCCUGGGCUCAACCUAGGCAUUGCAUUCGAUACUGGCAAGCUAGAGUAUGGGAGAGGAAGGUAGAAUUCCAGGUGUAGCGGUGAAAUGCGUAGAGAUCUGGAGGAAUACCGAUGGCGAAGGCAGCCUUCUGGCCUAAUACUGACGCUGAGGUGCGAAAGCAUGGGGAGCAAACAGGAUUAGAUACCCGUGU